AGGAUGAACGCUGGCGGCGUGCCUAACACAUGCAAGUCGAACGUCCUGUCUCGCAAGAGGCAGGGAGUGGCGGACGGGUGAGUACCACGUGGGUUAUCUACCGUGAGGUGAGGAAUACCGGCGAGAAAUCGCCGACAAGACCGCAUAGCCUCGGUGCAAGCCGAGGAAAGCUUUCUCGAGAGAGGGAGCGCCACACGAGGAGCCUGCGCCCGAUUAGCUAGCUGGUGGAGUAACGGUUCACCAGGGCGACGAUCGGUAGCUGGUCUGAGAGGACGAUCAGCCACACUGGGAUUGAGAACGGCCCAGACUCCUACGGGGGGCAGCAGUGAGGAAUUUUCGUCAAUGGGGGCAACCCUGAACGAGCAACGCCGCGUGCAGGAAGAGGUUUCGGAUCGUAAACUGCUUUUCUCGGGGUAAGAGAACGGACGGUACCCGAGGAAUCAGCCCCGGCUAACUACGUGCCAGCAGCCGCGGUAA
rnacentral:rRNA from 1 species